rnacentral:tRNA from 1 species
AAAAGCUUUUUAGAAAGAUAACUGAAGUUGAUAGUUAAUUCAGUUUUUCAGGCUAGCUGUCA